GGCAAGGUGGCCGAGUGGUCUAAGGCGCAUGGUUCAGGUUAACCUGAAUCCCUAUCACAUUAGUGGUGAAUUUCCAUGUCUACAACAGUGGGCGGGGGUUCGAAUCCCCCCCUUGUCA
rnacentral:tRNA from 1 species